CGAACGCUGGCGGCGUGCUUAACACAUGCAAGUCGAACGGAAAGGCCCUGCUUUUGUGGGGUGCUCGAGUGGGGAACGGGUGAGUAACACGUGAGUAACCUGCCCUUGACUUUGGGAUAACUUCAGGAAACUGGGGCUAAUACCGGAUAGGAGCUCCUGCUGCAUGGUGGGGGUUGGAAAGUUUCGGCGGUUGGGGAUGGACUCGCGGCUUAUCAGCUUGUUGGUGGGGUAGUGGCUUACCAAGGCUUUGACGGGUAGCCGGCCUGAGAGGGUGACCGGCCACAUUGGGACUGAGAUACGGCCCAGACUCCUACGGGAGGCAGCAGUGGGGAAUAUUGCACAAUGGGCGGAAGCCUGAUGCAGCAACGCCGCGUGCGGGAUGACGGCCUUCGGGUUGUAAACCGCUUUCGCCUGUGACGAAGCGUGAGUGACGGUAAUGGGUAAAGAAGCACCGGCUAACUACGUG
rnacentral:rRNA from 1 species